AAGGCUCUUCACACUUUCACAACAGUACAUACAUACAUUAUAUUCCUCCUUAUUGAGUUGUUAUCCAAAUAAUGGCCUUUUCUCGGACCCUAGAACAUGAAUCUCCCUCUCUGGUCUUCACAGUCCACAGAAAACAACCAGAGUUAGUAGCUCCUUGUAAGGCCACACCCCAUGAAAUCAAGAUUCUAUCCGACAUUGAUUCGCAAGCCGGCCUUCGCGCCCAAAUUCCGAUCAUACAAUUCUACUGUAGUGAGCCUUCAAUGGAAGGAAAAGACCCAGUUGAAAUCAUUAGGAAUGCAAUUGCACAAGCACUUGUGUUCUAUUAUCCACUUGCUGGUAGGCUUAGGGAAAGGCCUGAUGGAAAACUCAUGGUGGAUUGUAACGAAGAAGGAGUUAUGUUCAUUGAAGCUGAUGCUGAUGUCACACUUGAUCAGUUUGGGGAUGCUCUUGAACCUCCAUUUCCAUGCUUUGAAGAACUCCUCCAUGAUGUUCCCGGUUCAGAAGGAGUUAUUGAUACUCCCCUUCUUCUUAUUCAGGUGACUCGUCUGAAGUGCGGCGGUUUCAUCUUCGGCCUCCGCUUCAACCAUGCCAUGAUCGACGGCGUCGGCAUCGUAACGUUCAUGUACACCCUCUCCGCCUUCAGCCACGGCGCACAAGACCCUCCCUUCACCCCAAUUUGGCGCAGGGAACUCCUAACCGCACGUGACCCCCCUCGCGUCACGUGCCCCCACCCGGAAUACGACCAGCUCACAGACCCAAACGUAACUACCCUCCCCACCGAUCUCCAGCAACAUUCCUUCUUCUUCGGAGAUUCCGAGGUAUCAACCCUCCGAUCCCUCCUCCCGGAAAGCCUCUCCAGUGCAACCACCUUCCAAAUACUCACCGCAUUCGUAUGGCAAUGCCGAACCAAAGCAUUGCGUUUCAACCCAAACGACGACGUUAGAAUGAUGUGCAUAACCGAUGGGCGUGCGAAGUUUAACCCUCCCAUUCCAAACAGUUACUACGGUAACUGCUUGGUGCUCCCGGCAGCAGUUACAACCGCCGGGAAGCUGACCGAGGGCACGCUUGGAUACCCCGUGGGGCUUAUAAAAGAGGCAAUUGAGAAGGUUGACGAAGAGUAUAUACAUUCUGUGGCGGAUUUUAUGGUUACAAAUGGGAGGCCUUUGUUUACUACAGUAAGGUCUUGCAUUGUGUUGGAUACUACUUAUGCUGGGUUCAGAGGCGUGGAUUUUGGGUGGGGUAAGGCUUUGUACGGAGGGUUAGCGAAACCUGGUGCUGGUGCAUUUCCUGCGGUGAAUUUUCAUGUUCCUAGCCAGAAUGAGAAGGGAGAAGAAGGUAUAUUUGUUCUGACUUGUUUGCCUACUCAGGCUUUGAAGGCUUUUGCCAAAGUCAUGGAUGAGGUGCUUGAGAGUAACCAAACAAAUUAAAAAAAAAAGAUUUUGGAUUUUACCUGGGUUUGGACUUUGGAAUAAAAUAAAAAGUAUUUUCUGGCUGAAAUUGAGGGACUUGAGCAAAAAUCUGAUUCAGAGACUAAAAAGGACCGCAGAUGCUGUUGGAUUCUGACCUCCCUGCACUUGAAGUGGAUUUUCUGGAGCUACAGAGGUUCAAUUGGCGCGCUCUCAACGGCGUUGGAAAGUAGACAUCCUGGAAUUUCCAGCAAUAUAUAAUAGUCCAUACUUUGCCGAGAUUUGAUGGCCCAAACCGGCGUUCCAAAUCAGCUCAAAACUGCCCGGCGUUAAACGCCGGAACUGGCA